rnacentral:rRNA from 1 species
GCUUGUCUCAAAGAUUAAGCCAUGCAUGUCUAAGCACAUACCGAAAGCAAGGUGAAACCGCGAAUGGCUCAUUAAAUCAGUUAUGGUUCCUUAGAUCGUACCCUGUUACUUGGAUAACUGUGGUAAUUCUAGAGCUAAUACAUGCAGCAGAGCUCCGACCCUCUCCUCCUGCCCGCCGGCGACGGCGGGCAGGUAGGUUGGGAACGAGCGCGUUUGUGAGACCAAAACCACCGGUCGCGGACUCAGCUCCGCGGCCAAAAAUAAGUGGUGAAUCUGUAUAACUUUUGGCCGAUCGCACGGGCUCGUCCCGGCGACGCAUCUUUCAAGUGUCUGCCUUAUCAACUGUCGAUGGUAAGUCACGCGCUUACCAUGGUCGUAACGGGUGACGGGGAAUCAGGGUUCGAUUCCGGAGAGGGAGCCUGAGAAACGGCUACCACAUCCAAGGAAGGCAGCAGGCGCGCAAAUUACCCACUCCCGGCACGGGGAGGUAGUGACGAAAAAUAACAAUACGGGACUCUUUUGAGACCCCGUAAUUGGAAUGAGUACACUCUAAAUCCUUUAGCGAGGAUCUAUUGGAGGGCAAGUCUGGUGCCAGCAGCCGCGGUAAUUCCAGCUCCAAUAGCGUAUAUUAAAGUUGUUGCGGUUAAAAAGCUCGUAGUUGGAUCUCAGUUCUAGACGGGUGGUCCGUCCUCCUUUUCGUUAAGGGGCGGUCUCACUGCCCGGUCCUAUUACAAAACCGGCCGGUUUCCCCCGAUGAUCUUCACCGGUUGUCUCGGGCGACCGGUACGUUUACUUUGAAAAAAUUAGAGUGCUCAAAGCAGGCAUAUGAUUGCCGGAAUAAUGGUGCAUGGAAUAAUAGAAUAAGACUCCGGUCCUAUGUUUGUUGGUU